AUCUCAUGUCGCUGCUGCCGCCACCCCCGAUUCGCAAUGUUUCUGCUUCCCUCCACUCUGUCCCGGGUUCCAGGGCCCUGUCUCUAGGGGCGCCCUGGGUCUUCCAGGAGUGAUCCAGAAGUUUCUUCCUGUCCUGCGUGCGCUGACCAUCGGCCCCGAGGACAGCGAUAAGAUGGCUAAAGGCUCCCGAGGCCAGUGCACUCCCAGAGCCUUGAAGACAGCAGAAGUCCUCUAAGCCCUGUGUGGUGAGAGAGGAUUUCCAGAGGAGUCAUCAGAACUGAGCGUGAAGAAGGGCUGUGUGUGACCCAAUGGAGGAUGCUGAAGAGGGCAUUCGAAGCAGAGAAGAACAUGUGCAAAGCAGGAGACGGGCAGAACAGGAGGGAUUCUAAAACAGCAGGUAACAUUGGAACAUACAGGUGGCAGGUAGGGGAGAAUUUGGAGACUUUUGAAAAGAAUGUGAAAUUGGAGAGUGGGGCUCAGGUAAGUGCUGAAAACAGAUUUGGGAAUAGUUCCCAUACAGAUGGAAGAAGAGACUGCGAAGAAACUCAAUGUUUAUGGGAAUAUGAAUGAUUUCUUCAUAGGAUUCAUACACAGACAUCCAAUAUUUCUGAGCAUGGCAUAAUCCUAUUGUAUACCUCCUUCUGAUAUCUGGAAUACAACCAAUGUAUUCACAUAAUGAUCAUAAGCUAUGUCUACUAACUCUCAUGUAUCAUACCCAGUUGGUUUCUAUUCUAGAACUAUGAGGUCAGUACUUGUGAAAUGUAUAUUGAGGUCUACUAUGAAAUUUGCUUUUAUUC
rnacentral:lncRNA from 1 species